CAGGCUUAAAUUUCCAUGAGGCUAACAUCUCCUGCAUUUCAGCAACAAAUUAGAAAAUAAUCCCAUCCAUGACUUUCAUGCCAAGGAAUAGGAUGUUGGAGAGGGGAAAAUAGUUGGCGAGAUCUUCAGAGUUGAGUGGUGGCUUCUUGGGGACUGGGCAAUCUAUUGCACUUUUUCAAGCAGAUUGAUGGAAGCUGGAUGGAAAAAAUAUAACCCCUGGCUCUUUAUGUUCAGAAGAAUUGUGUCCAAGCCUUUCAUUCAGAUUGCCAAAAUACCCAGCAGGUUAUGGUUCACUUAACGUUUCUGAACUGAUUGGCAAAACAAAGAGAGAAACGAUAUAAAAUGAAGGGAGAAGUUCUUCAUUGGUACAGAUCACAUCAAAGCAUCUUUCUUAUUUAAGCAGUUGUAAAGGUAUGUGCCGCUGAAUGGAUGGUCUCACCCCAGGGUUACUUAAUUUAAAACUGCUAAUUUUCUACAGUAUAUAUUCAGAAAUGUGCUCUCCAAAUCCUAGCGAUUCAUGCAUCUUGGAAUCCCUUUCUGUUACAAAUUAUUACAUUAAUAAAUACAUUUCUGUGACUCUCUAGAGGAGGAAUAUGCAAUAAAUUAGAAUGUAGGCAUUUCAUUCUCUUACAUAAAAACCUCCACAAUUAUUUUCUGUAAUGUGAAGAGGUUUCCAUUAACAGCUAGAUUUCCAGAUCUAAGUGAACAAAAUGUUUAAUGGGAGACUCAGCAACUUCACAUUAAUAGCUCUCAGCUGACAGUGUGAAAUUUUGACAUUACUGAUUACAACUCAAAUGUGAUAUACUAACUUUAAUACAGCAUGCAAGCAAUGUGUGCAGGCAAGCCAGAUGCAAAACGUAAACAUUAUCUAAACAGAGCUGAUUUCAAAUGUUUUGAAUGUAAAUAAAACACCGGGUGGUCCUUCAGACUGUCAGCAAUCAUUAUUUCCUCCAACAUAAACAAGGCUGUCAAACGGGAUUUUUGUCACAACUAUAAAAAGUCAUUCUUCACUAGUAAAUCCUAGGCUGUUUCUUCUUUUAAAAAAUAAAGUUCUUUACCUUUAGAAUAGAUAAGUUCCUUUCCAGAUUUGCAUGAAA